AUAUAAACAUCUGUUCAUGUGUUCAGCAGCAUGUUUGCUGCGGGG
rnacentral:misc_RNA from 1 species